rnacentral:rRNA from 1 species
CAAUAGCAUAUAUUAACGUUGUUGCAGUUGAAAAGCUCGUAGUUGAACUUUUGGUAGGAGCGACCUGGCCUUGGGCGCAUGCCCUUGUUUGCCGUGUGUCGUAUCUGGCCAUCCUUUUCUUCGUUUUUCGGAGGAAUCUUUUACUGUGAGUAAACUGGAGUGCUCAAAACAAGACGUUUGUUUGGUACAUUAAAGCAUGGAAUAAUAAGAUAGGACCUGGUUACUAUUUUGUUGGUUUGCAUAGCUAGGUAAUGAUUAACAGGGACAGUUGGGGGUAUUCGUAUUUAAUUGUCAGAGGUGAAAUUCUUGGAUUUAUGAAAGACGAACGACUGCGAAAGCAUUUACCAAGGAUGUUUUCAUUA